rnacentral:rRNA from 1 species
AUGGCGUGUCGUCAGCUCGUGUCGUGAGAUGUUGGGUUAAGGUCCCGCAACGAGCGCAACCCCUGCAUUCAGUUGCCAUCGGGUAAUGCCGGGCACUCUGGAAGGACUGCCAUCGACAAGAUGGAGGAAGGUGGGGAUGACGUCAAGUCAUCAUGGCCCUUAUGUCCAGGGCGACACACGUGCUACAAUGGCCGGCACAACGGGAAGCGAGUUCGCGAGGACGAGCGGAUCCCUCAAAGCCGGUCGCAGUUCGGAUUGAAGUCUGCAACUCGACUUCAUGAAGCUGGAAUCGCUAGUAAUCGUGGAUCAGCCAAGCCGCGGUGAAUACGUUCCCGGGCCUU